UGAGGAUGUGGUAGAUCCUGGGAGGCCACUCUGAUCCUGCCAACCUUGAGGCCAGAUGAGUCUUUGAAAAACAUGGUUUGGCUUAACACCAGCACUUAGUCUAACACCCACCAUGAAUCUUGCUGAAGUGAAGCUAUACAAAUACCUUUUCAAAAGAUUUUUUUUCAUUCCAGAUCCUUCUUAGAAAUUCCUAAGGCUCAAUGUUGUGUGGAAGAUUCUGAGAAAGAAAAUAGUUUCCGAUCUUUGGGAUUCCCCUGAGAUGGUCCAAUCUGCAAAAAGUUCAUUGCCAUUUCCAUCAAGGACACUGAGAACAAGAGUCUUAUCCGCAUUGAAUCCUGGGAAUUGAGAAGCUUCAGCAGGGCUUCCGCUGGAACUAGGAUGAGGAUGUGGACACCCCCAACCUGGACCAUCUGGCCGAGGAGGGCGUCAAGGCCAAGUACCUCAUGCCACCCCUUGUCACAAUGACCUCCCCGUCCCACUUCACUGCCAUCACAGAAUCCCAGUGGCCACUAAAACAGAGGGAUUCCAACCUAAAAAGGAGGAAAAGGAGGCUGCUGAAAAGCAAAGGACUCUGUGUAAGAAUCAUAAUAGCGGAGGUGGAGCCAAGAUGGCAGAAUAGGAACAGCUCCAGUCUACAGUUCCCGGAGUGAGCGACGCAGAAGACAGGUGAUUUCUGCAUUUCCAACUGAGGUACUGGGUUCAUCUCACUGGGGAGUGUCAGAAAGUGGGUGCAGGACACCUGGUGCAGUGCAGUGAGCAUGAGUCCAAGCAGGGCGAGGCAUUGCCUCACCGAGGAAGUGCAAGGGGUCAGAGAAUUCCCUUUCCAGGUCAAAGAAAUGGGUCACAGACGGCACCUGGAAAAUCGGGUCACUUCCACCCUAAUACUGCACUUUUCCAAUGGUCUUAGCAAAUGGCACACCAGGAGAUUAUAUCCCAUGCCUGGCUCAGAGGGCCCUACACCCAUGGAGCCUCACUCAUUGCUAGCACAGCAGUCUGAGAUCAAACUGCAAGGUGACAGCAAGGCUGGGGGAGGGGCGCCUGCCAUUGCCUAGGCUUCAGUAGGUAAACAAAGCAGCUGGGAAGCUCCAACUGGGUGGAGCCCAACACAGCUCAAGGAGGCCUGCCUGCAUCUGUAGACUGCACCUCUAAGGGCAGGGCACUGGCAAACAAAAGACAGCAGAAUCCUCUGCAGACUUAAAUAUCCCUGUCUGACAGCUUUGAAGAGAGUAGUGGUUCUCCCAGCACACAGCUGGAGAUCUGAGAAUGGACAGACUGCCUCCUCAAGUGGGUCCCUGACCCCCGAGUAGCCUAACUGGGAGGCACCCCACAGUAGGGGCAGACUGACACCUCACAUGGCCGGGUACUCCUCUGAGACAAAACUUGCAGAGGAACAAUCAGGCAGCAACAUUUCCUGCUCACCAAUAUCUGCUGUUCUGCAGCCUCCACUGCUGAUACCCAGGCAAACUCCAACAGACAUGCAGCUGAGGGUCCUGACUCUCAGAAGGAAAACUAACAAACAGAAAGGACUUCCACACUAAAACCCCAUCUGUACGUCACCAUCAUCAAAGACCAAAGGUAGAUAAAACCACAAAGAUGGGGAAAAAACAGAACAGAAAAACUGGAAACUCUAAAAAUCAGAGUGCCUCUCCUGCUCCAAAGGAAUGCAGCUCCUCACCAGCAAUGGAACAAAGCUGGACAGAGAAUGACUUUGAUGAGUUGAGAGAAGAAGGCUUCAGAUGAUCAGAUUACUCUAAGCUAAAGGAGGAAGUUUGAACCCAUGGCAAAGAAGCUAAAAACCUUGAAAAAAAAUUAGAUGAAUGGCUAACUAGAAUAACCAAUGCAGAGAAGUCCUUAAAGGACCUGAUGGAGCUGAAAACCAAGACAGAAGAACUACGUGACAAAUGCACAAGCCUCAGUAGCCAAUUUGAUCAACUGGAAGAAAGGGUAUCAGUGAUGGAACAUGAAA